rnacentral:sRNA from 1 species
GCUGGGCACGGUGGCACAUGCCUGUAAUUUCAGUGGCUCAGGAGGCUGAGGCAGGAGGAUCAUGAGUUCAAACUUAAACUCAGCAACUUAGUAAGGCUCUAAGCAACUCCGUGAGACCCCGCUUCUA